rnacentral:tRNA from 1 species
UGGGGUGUCGCCAAGUGGUAAGGCAGCGGUUUUUGGUACCGCCAUCUCGUUGGUUCGAAUCCAGCCACCCCAG